UACGUAGGGCGCGAGCGUUGUCCGGAAUUAUUGGGCGUAAAGAGCUCGUAGGCGGCCUGUUGCGUCCGCUGUGAAAUCCCGGGGCUCAACCCCGGGCUUGCAGUGGAUACGGGCUGGCUAGAGGCAGGCAGGGGAGAACGGAAUUCCGGGUGUAGCGGUGGAAUGCGUAGAGAUCCGGAAGAACACCGGUGGCGAAGGCGGUCUGCUGGGCAGUUGCUGACGCUGAUGCGCGACAGCGUGGGGAGCAAACAGG
rnacentral:rRNA from 1 species